GGGGAUGUAGCUCAGUGGCAUAAGCACCUGCCUGGCAAGUGUGAGGCCAUGAGUUCAAUUCCCGGUAUCCCCC
rnacentral:tRNA from 1 species